GCCACGCCGCUCAGGAGCACCCGCGGGGCCGAGCACGGCGCGCCGCCGCCCCUGGAGGGUGUCGCUGCGGCGGACGCGGGAGGCGGCGGCCUGCGGGAAGUUGGCGGGAGCACGGAGCCCAGUCCCGCGCGGCGGCCCGAGCCGGCCCGCUGCCCUCGUUUCAAACUACCGCGCCGACCGGAGCGCCGCUGCCCUUGCUGCACGCUCAACUCGCGAAGCAGAGAAUGACCGACCCGGCUACUCGUGCCGGGGCUGCCCCGUGGAACUUUUCUUGAAAGGAUGGCGUUGGUCUGAUUUUUAAAAAAAAUACCUUUCCAGCCGUGACUUUUGAGAAUCUGAGAGCAAUGACAAAUUACUUGACAUUAAGCAGUUUCUGGAAUUGCAGCCACUCCAGUUGUAAACAUCCAGUUUAAUUCAGCGUCGCUUUCUCCAGCCUGGCGUCGGUACCUUCUGGGCUGAUGGGUGUGAAGAUGAAGGCAAAGAAGUAACUUUCUUCCAUGACCUGGCUAGAAAGUGGUUGAAAUAAAUGUUGAUGUAACUAGGCUGGUUCA